rnacentral:rRNA from 1 species
CAGUCGCCGCGGUAAUACGAAGGGGGCUAGCGUUGUUCGGAAUUACUGGGCGUAAAGCGCGCGUAGGCGGGCAUUUAAGUCAGGGGUGAAAUCCCGGGGCUCAACCCCGGAACUGCCUCUGAUACUGGGUGUCUAGAGUUCGGAAGAGGUAAGUGGAAUUGCGAGUGUAGAGGUGAAAUUCGUAGAUAUUCGCAGGAACACCAGUGGCGAAGGCGACUUACUGGUCCGAUACUGACGCUGAGGUGCGAAAGCGUGGGGAGCAAACAGGAUUAGAUACCCCAGUAGUCCCUGUCUCUUAUAC